GAUGAACGCUGGCGGCGUGCUUAACACAUGCAAGUCGAGCGGACAGAUGCCGAGCUUGCUUGUCGGACGUUAGCCGCGGACGUAAUACAACCACGUGUAUCACCUGCCUGUGAGUCUGGGAUCGCUACGGGAGACCGUAGCGCAUGCGAGCUAAUAUAGUGAGCGGCAUAGUUCGAUGGUAAGUUUCGGCUUUGCUGUCUCUUGUAGCUGAUUCCGCGCCGGAUUAGCUAGUUGGUAAGGUAACGGCUUACCAAGGCGACGAUGCGUAGCCGAUCUGAGAGGAUGAUCGGCCACACUGGAACUGAGACACGGUCCAGACUCCUACGGGAGGCAGCAGUAGGGAAUCUUCCGCAAUGGGCGAAAGCCUGACGGAGCAACGCCGCGUGAGUGAUGAAGGUCUUCGGAUCGUAAAACUCUGUUAUUAGGGACGAACAGAUGUGGACGUAACUAUGGACGUCUUGACGGUACCGAAUGAGAAAGCCACGGCUAACUACGUG
rnacentral:rRNA from 1 species